GGCCCUGGAACUCUGGCCCAAGGCUCUCUGACUCCUUCCCAGAUCUUCUCGGCUUAGCAGCUGAAGACUGAGACUGCCCGAUUGCCUCGAAAGCCUACAGGACCAUCACAGACUCUCUGGGUAACUCACAGUGGAAGCCCCUUGGAACACAGCAGUAGCUUUACACAAUGCUAUCUGCCCCUUGCAACAAAGCAGUAAUUUCACUACUUGAGGGAUGGAAAAGAUGUACCAUAAAAGACACAGAGGCGAUAGACAAAAGGGAAGUAAGAUUCAGGUCUUGCACAGAAACUGAGCCUUGAUUUUCCGCAGAAUAUACUGUGACCAAGCCUCCUGCAGGGCUGCCUGUACGUUAAAGAAAUGGAAGCGUCUUGAAUCGUGUCCAUCGUCCCUCCUUUACACAAAGUAAUCACCUCCAGCUGGGCCAAGUUGAUUGAGGAAACGUUCAGUUUUCACAUGAUUUUGCUGUAGCACCAUAAUGAAUGUAUUUCUUUGAUGGAAGAAAGAAGCUUCAUGAAAUAAACUGCUUAAGGAUUUGAAGUUGGAGCUGAAAACAUGGGCUGCUUUGUUCUUAAUGACAACUGCUUUGCCAUCUAAAACAUUUCUCCUUUUUGAAGGAUCUGUCUUUUCUCUUCCAGCCACAACCCUCGAGCUACAAUAACAGGCUCAUGAUUUUUUUAGAUGCCAAGGUUAUGAAUACUCUUUUAUGAAUAUUUUCCUUUGAACUCAUUUCUCUUGAAGAAGAAAAAUAGCCCUACAUAUUGCAGGAUUGACAAUAACAGACAAAACGUACAAAUUGUUCUCUUAGGGGCAGUAAAAUGCUCCAAAAUGCACAUAGAAAAAUUCCAAAUGCAACCUGAUGUUUAUGGAGCACUGCCUUUGCAGCUAUAAUUUUUAGAAAGUAAUAUUUCUGACUGACAUGAAUUAUACAGAGCAUAUUUCAGAGACUAAUAUCAGGUUAAUGCCUUAAAAUGUCUCCGUUUAUGACAUCAUGGCUGCUUUUCCUAUAUCAGUGCAAACUCUUAGUGAGUAGAAUUUGAGGAUAUGUCUUUUCAAAGGAAGAAAACCUUCACUGAAUUAAGCUGCUUAUGGUUUUAUUUUUUCUUUUAUCCCAUUUCAACAUAUCCACCAACCUCCUCUAAAAAUAAUUCAACUAAUGUGAACUCAACAGAUUAUAGUAGAUCUCUUAUUAAUUUCAUUUUGCCUCCAAAGGAGCUUAUCAUUUAGGCUUAUAAUUAUGUAUGCAGUACUGUCGACUAAUGUUUAGGUUCCUCAUUAAAACUUCAUUUCAUUCUGUUUUAAUAUCAUCAGUCUGUUAGACCAUUUAUUUUCUCAUGUUAAAAAAUAUGUGUUUUCCCUGAACUCUUUCCAUAUGUUUUCUCUCAUCCAAAAAAUCCAGAAAACUCAGCUCCCUUUAAUCCUGCUUUGUGGCUUAGAUACUUUAGCCUGGAACCACUCGUGUUGAUUUGUAUAUACCCACACUUACGCAAAAAUAGCCUUCACUACGGCAGAGUAAUCAUUCUGCAUAGAAAUUAUGUGUCUCUGAAGCCUAUGUUGUCAGGUGAAUCGUGGCAGCAAUGACCUAAGAAUGCAUCCCCAGUUUGAAAUGACCUAUAAAAAUUUCAAGAUACAACUAUUGCUUUGCAUUUGGCAUCGGGAAUAUUCUGUAUAGUUCUUUUCAUGUAAAUGGGCAAUAUUCUAGAAUGGUUCCCAAGUAUAAGCUUUAGAGCUAGACUUCUUGGGUACAACUCCCACUAUUACCACUUACUAGUUAUGUAAUAUUGGAAAAUACACUUAACUACUCUGAGCAUCAUAAAGUAAGCUUACUAACACCUACCUCACACAAUUGUUGUGGGGAUUAAGUUAGUAAAACAUAUAAAGCAUAUGUGACUCUGUCUGGCACAGAGUUAGCACUCAGUCUAAGUGUUAGCUCUUAAUAUCAUUAAUUCAC
rnacentral:lncRNA from 1 species